rnacentral:rRNA from 1 species
UGGGGAAUAUUGGACAAUGGGGGAAACCCUGAUCCAGCGACGCCGCGUGUGUGAAGAAGGCCUGCGGGUUGUAAAGCACUUUCGGUGGGAACGAAUGCUCCUGAAGUUAACAGCCUCAGGAGGUGACGGUACCCUCAAAGGAAGCACCGGCUAACUCUGUGCCAGCAGCCGCGGUAAUACAGAGGGUGCAAGCGUUGUUCGGAAUCAUUGGGCGUAAAGGGCGUGUAGGCGGUAUGUUAAGUCGGGUGUGAAAGCCCCGGGCUCAGCCUGGGAAGGGCACUCGAAACUGUCGAGCUGGAGUGCCGGAGGGGAGAGUGGAAUUCCUGGUGUAGCGGUGAAAUGCGUAGAUAUCAGGAGGAAUACCGGUGGCGAAAGCGACUCUCUGGACGGCAACUGACGCUGAGGCACGAAAGCGUGGGGAGCAAACAGGAUUAGAUACCCCCGUAGUCCCUGAGCGGGCUGGCAAGGCGCAU